GAACUCCCACAUAUUCGCACUAAGUCACAGGGAACAAGGCAGAAUGAGGUUCAGUGGGGUGUGCCAGGUGUGUGUUGAUCAGCACCAAUGACAGCAUGAAACUGAUGUUCCAGGUGGGGAGACUGAAGAGGAGCCAGUUGUAGACACAAGAUAGAGAUCGUGACGAGAAAGUCACAUGUUAUGACGGUGGCUGCAUCUCUGAUAUAUCAGAGGACAUUCUAAAGAAGCCCUGACACACAAAAGGCUUCUGAGACUCCUGCACCAGGGACUAAGAUGAAGCAGUUGAAAUCACUGGAUCCCAGGCAGCUUCCAGCCAGCAGAGACAUUCUGUCUUCCCUACACUCGGGGCAGGUCUUGGCAGCGCCCUGCCUGACUCCAGCCUGUCCCUUCUCAUGCCUGGGAAAGCCCAGGAGACCGCGGCGCACUCACCCGGUGGCUGCCUCUGUCCAUGGUGUAAGAGAAUGCGUCUUCCAGGCUCAGCUGAUGUCGAGGAGGCAAAAGAAACAGAGGAAGAGACACGUGUCCUAAAGCAAGUCGCUGCGCUCAGAAGUGUGGAAGCAGAAGAGUUCGGUGGACUUGGGAAUGCUCCCUUUGUGAUAAAGCCCCAGGGUGGCUGCAACUUCGCUGAGAUCCGUGGAUUCUGCGAUUGCAUCUGUGUUCCCCCAUGCAUGAAUCUGUACCCAGAUAAAAUUCUCUUUGCUUUU
ensembl:antisense 1700003G13Rik RIKEN cDNA 1700003G13 gene